CGCCCACUUGGCAUUCUGCUUGCAUAGCCUUAUUCCAUGGUGUCUCCCUAACACCCACCUGUGCUUCGGUGUCACUGGGUCAUCCUAUUCCAACCUCUCCCUCGGGUUUCAGCCACCCCUACCCCUGCUUUAAAGUCUGGCUUCCCUUGCUAAAGCCACACUGUGGCUAACCUGGCCCACCCGCUGCCCUUAGCCUUGCCAUCAGGUCCCCAUACCAUUGUGCUCUUCCUCCAUCCCCUCCACCUCCCUCCACCUCCCCAAACUCACCUCAGUUGCCAACAGCCUCCCCGUGCCUGUUGGACAAUCCCUUGCUGGUUCUUCAUCUCCCGUGGGCCUAGUUUCCAGGGGCUGAGUGACCAGGGUCUUAAAACAGGUUUAUGCCUUGGCCUGCUGGCCCUGGAGAUCCCAUCGUCGGCUUCGUCGAACUCAAAGUCGUCGCCCUACCCUGGUGGGUGUUUAUCACACUUACCACCACCGUGUCCUUGAGAGUUCAUGGCUCUGCCCUCCUAGGCCCCUUGCUGACCUUUUGGUGUUGUUUUGGGGGCUACUAUCCAGGCCCGUCGCGUCUUCCUGUGCCAUUUCCUGUUGUGCUCAGGUUCCACGAGCUGCCCAUCUCCAGAGAA
rnacentral:lncRNA from 1 species